UACGUAGGGUGCAAGCGUUGUCCGGAAUUACUGGGCGUAAAGGGCUCGUAGGCGGCCAACUAAGUCGGAUGUGAAAUCCCCAGGCUCAACCUGGGAACUGCAUCCGAUACUGGAUGGCUUGAAUUCGGGAGAGGGAUGCAGAAUUCCAGGUGUAGCGGUGAAAUGCGUAGAUAUCUGGAGGAAUACCGGUGGCGAAGGCGGCAUCCUGGACCGACAUUGACGCUGAUGAGCGAAAGCUAGGGGAGCAAACGGG
rnacentral:rRNA from 1 species